rnacentral:lncRNA from 1 species
AGAUGAUGAUUAUUCCCCACCUUCUAAGAGACAAAGACCAACGAGCCACCACAGCCACCAGUCCCAGAACCUGCCAAUGCUGGGGAACGGAAAAUGAGGGAGUUCAACUCUGGCCCUCACAAUCCAGUGGAGGAGACGAAACUCAUCUGCCUCUGUCCCUCUGGGCACGCCUCAUGCCAGGUGCAUCUGUGGACAGGGGCCAUGCCCCUGGGCUUCCAAAGUUGGAGAGAGCUGCCAGGCUCAGGUCUGAAGGCCAGAAUUCUACAGUAAGUCCUACUGAGUCAAGGUGGGAGCAGGGUCGGUAGCUUCCGAGGCUCUGCGGGAGAAUCCGUUUCCUGGCCGUAGAGGUGGCCUGCACUCCGCAGCUUGUGCUGCCCGUCUCGAAUGACUGGAGUUUCCUGCUUCUGUCACUACACCUCCCACCCUCUCCAUCACCUGCUCUGCUCUUACAAGGAUCCGAAGAAAUGGAAUCAUCGUAUCGCUGAUCUACGUAAACAAACUGAAGAAUUGUCUGAAAGAAAAUAUGACAUGAACUUAUGAAUUCAACAGGUGAAGAUUUACAACUUGAUAAAUCAACUUUGUCAGCUCGAGCUGUAAAAGCCAAAGGUCCGGUGAUGAUCCCAUACCCUUUUUUCCAGUCUCAUGUUGAAGAUUUUUAUGUAGAAGGCCUUCCCAAAGGAAUUUUUUUUUUUUUUUUUUUUUUGAGAUGGAGUUUUCACUCUUAUCGCCCAGGCUGGGGUGCAAUGGCGCAACCUUGCUGGUCACUGCAACCUCUGCCUCCUGGGUUCAAGAAAUUCUCCUGCCUUAGCCUCCCAAGUCACUGGGAUUACAGGUGCCCACCACCAUACCAGGCUAAUUUUUGUAUUUUUAGUGGAGAUGCGGUUUCACCAUGUUGGCCGGGCCAGUCUCGAACUCCUGACGUCAAGUGAUCUUCCCGCCUCGACUCCUGAUAUCAAGUGAUCUUCCCGCCUC